rnacentral:lncRNA from 1 species
CCUGGCGUCUGCUACUAGCUGGGCUAACCUGGUGUAUAGACUGUAGAUAAUUAGAAGACAGUGAGCAUCAAAUUGUGAAAUCAACACAGUAAUACUAGUGUUACCAGUUACUGUAAGUUACUGCCACAUGUUGAGCAAGACAUCACAUGUAUUAGAAUUGUACUCACACCCUCAGACACCAAAGGGAUAGUCUCUUGAAGUCCUCCAGAGUGGUAAGAGCAUUUACGAUUCUGAGGAUUGUUCUCUGCUCGUUGGUUUCCUCUUUAUAGAUCCUGUAAAGGACACGCUGGAGAUAAAAAAAUACAAAAAAAACCAGCAAAAAACAUUAUGAAAGGCUCUGACAGGAAAGAGGUUUCAUGCUUUAAACGUGCACCGUUUUACUGCUUUACCUUGUCGGUAGUUGAAACGGGAAACUCCUCUGUGGAGAAUCUGGUCGGUUCUGUUGUCAUUAUUUCAAAGUUGAUUAGUGUUCCAUCAACAUUAAACAAUUUCACUAUUGAAUACAUCAUUCAAAAAAAGCACUCGCACAUCUGAGAUAACUUGUUGCAGGUGCUAGUAUCACUUUAAUAAAAAGAAGUGAUAUCAGUGUGCAUUGAAUACAUGAAAUGAUAAGGCGUAUCAUACCUUUGUCCGUUGUGCUGCUUCCCUCAACUACAACAUGAUCUGGAGUCUGAUCUGUCUCUGCUUCACUCUGACUGUUAGCACCGUAGCCAAGGGCAGAAGCCUUCGGGACAGCAGGUACUCUUCGUCUGUAUCGCUGCAGGCACUGGCAGCAGAGAACUGGAAGGAAAGGCGGCGUUGGCUUUGGGGAUGACCAGUGAGAUAUACCUGCUGGAGCGCGUGCUAGAGGUGGCCGACACACCCUGUUUUAGACACACCAGUCCGCCCACGGGGAAAAAGUCUGAAUGUGCUUCAGGUGUGCACUGCAUACACAAUACUUCUUAGCCUCCAGAGCUUUUACUGUCAUUAAAAUCUUUUACUGCUGUCACGCCCUGAUCUGUUUCACCUGUCCACCCACCUCCAGGUGUCGCCCAUCUUCCCAAUUAUCCCCUGUGUAUUUAUACCUGUGUUCUCUGUCUGUUUGUUGACAGUUCGUCUUGUUCGUUCAAGUUUACCAGCGUUUUCCCUGUCAGCUCCUAUCAUUUCCCAGCCUCUCUUUUCUUGUCCUCCUGCUUUUUGACCUUUGCCUGCCUUGAUCCUGUACCCGCCCGCCUGACCUCUCUGCCUGCCCCUGACCCUGAGCCUUCCUGCCGUCCUGUACCUUUGCCUUACCCUGGAUUAUCGACCCCUGCCUGCCUUGACCUGUCUUUGCCUGCCCCUGUUGCUACAGUAAAAAUUGUUACUUCAACA